CCUACGGGCUGCAGCAGUGGGGAAUAUUGGACAAUGGGCGAAAGCCUGAUCCAGCAAUGCCGCGUGUACGAAGAAGGUCUUCGGAUUGUAAAGCACUUUCGACGGGGACGAUGAUGACGGUACCCGUAGAAGAAGCCCCGGCUAACUUCGUGCCAGCAGCCACGGUAAUACGAAGGGGGCUAGCGUUGCUCGGAAUGACUGGGCGUAAAGGGCGCGUAGGCGGUUUAUGCAGUCAGAUGUGAAAUCCCCGGGCUUAACCUGGGAACUGCAUUUGAGACGCAUAGACUAGAGGUCGAGAGAGGGUUGUGGAAUUCCGAAUGUAGAGGUGAAAUUCGUAGAUAUUGGGAAGAACACCGGUGGCGAAGGCGGCAACCUGGCUCGAUACUGACGCUGAGGCGCGAAAGCGUGGGGAGCAAACAGGAUUAGAUACCCGCGUAGU
rnacentral:rRNA from 1 species